rnacentral:rRNA from 1 species
CGCAUCUGUGCAUGCAGCAUAUCAAUAAGCGGAGGAAAAGAAACUAACAAGGAUUCCCCUAGUAACGGCGAGUGAAGCGGGAAGAGCUCAAAUUUGAAAUCUUAAAGGGUUUCCCUUUACGAAUUGUAGUUUAAAGAAGUGUUUUCUGUUGAGGUUUUGGUAAAAGUUCUUUGGAAUAGGACAUCAUAGAGGGUGAGAAUCCCGUAUUUGACCUUUACUUUCAACUUUGUGAUACACUUUCAAAGAGUCGGAUUGUUUGGGAAUGCAGUCCAAAAUGGGUGGUAAAUUUCAUCUAAAGCUAAAUAUUGGCGAGAGACCGAUAGCGAACAAGUACCGUGAGGGAAAGAUGAAAAGAACUUUGAAAAGAGAGUUAAACAGUACGUGAAAUUGUCAAAAGGGAAGCGUUUGACACCAGUGUUGUUUUUCUGAAAAUCAAUUAAAGAACUGUUUAUGCUAAGUUGUUUAGACUUUAUCAGCUAACUGUUUAGUUUUGAGCUUUUCUUUAAUGCACUUUUCAGUUAACAAGUCAACAUCAAUUUCUUUUGCUGUAAAAAAGCUUGAGGAAGGUGGCUUGAGAUUCGUCUUAAGUGUUUAUAGCCUCUUGCCUAUGCAGUCGGAGAGAUUGAGGUCUGCAGCGUAGAUCCUUCGGGGCUAAAUGCAUUCGUGCUAAGUUAUAAGCAUUUUAUAGACAACUUGUUGACUAUGAUUUGUCUUGUAGCUUACUCGCUUAUGUUAUUUUACCUACGCUUAGGAUGUUGAACGCGCACAGAGUCUC